UUUCCGUAGGUGAACCUGCGGAAGGAUCAUUAUUGAAUAAACCUGAUGUGACUGUUACCUGGCUUUUCGAAGCAUGUGCUCGUCCGUCAUCUUUAAUCUCUCCACCUGUGCACAUUUUGUAGUCUUGGAUACCUCUCGAGGCAACUCGGAUUUUAGGAUCGCCGUGCUGCACAAGUCGGCUUUCCUUUCAUUUCCAAGACUAUGUUUUUAUAUACACCAAAGUAUGUUUAAAGAAUGUCAUCAAUAGGAACUUGUUUCCUAUAAAAUUAUACAACUUUCAGCAACGGAUCUCUUGGCUCUC
rnacentral:misc_RNA from 1 species